rnacentral:rRNA from 1 species
GACGAAUGCUGGCGGCGUGCUUAACACAUGCAAGUCGAACGGAAAGGCCCUGCUUGCAGGGUACUCGAGUGGCGAACGGGUGAGUAACACGUGGGUGAUCUGCCCUGCACUUCGGGAUAAGCCUGGGAAACUGGGUCUAAUACCGGAUAGGAGCCAUUUUUAGUGUGAUGGUUGGAAAGUUUUUUCGGUGUAGGAUGAGCUCGCGGCCUAUCAGCUUGUUGGUGGGGUAAUGGCCUACCAAGGCGGCGACGGGUAGCCGGCCUGAGAGGGUGGACGGCCACAUUGGGACUGAGAUACGGCCCAGACUCCUACGGGAGGCAGCAGUGGGGAAUAUUGCACAAUGGGCGCAAGCCUGAUGCAGCGACGCCGCGUGGGGGAUGACGGCCUUCGGGUUGUAAACUCCUUUCGCUAGGGACGAAGCUUUUGUGACGGUACCUGGAGAAGAAGCACCGGCUAACUACGUG